AUUGAACGCUAGCGGGAUGCUUUACACAUGCACGUCGAACGAGUGGCGGACGGGUGAGUAAUAUACCAGACCGUGCCCAGUAGCGGGGGAUAACUACUCGAAAGAGUGGCUAAUACCGCAUACUAUUGGAGCGGCCGAUCUCGGAUUAGCUAGUUGGGGGGGUAAAGGCUCACCAAGGCAACGAUCCGUAGUGGGUUUGAGAGGACGACCAGCCACACUGGGACUGAGACACGGCCCAGACUCCUACGGGAGGCAGCAGUGGGGAAUUUUGGACAAUGGGGGAAACCCUGAUCCAGCCAUCCCGCGUGUAUGAGAAGGCCUUCGGGUUGUAAAGUACUUUUGGCAGAGAAGCGGUAUCUGCAGAAUAAGCACCGGCUAACUACGUGCCAGCAGCCGCGGUAAUUC
rnacentral:rRNA from 1 species